CUGAGAGGCUCGAGAUAACUAGAAAGGAAUAUUCUUGCAAUAACAAGAGACUUGCUAAGCUGUACACUGCUAUCAGCAUUAAGAGGAAGCUCUGACUAAGAAAAAGAAACAAAGAGCCAAAGGGAGACAGAUAGAACAGGCUGUCACCUUUGGGUUUGAAACUGCCUUUGUUUUCAGCAAGAAGUGCAGGCAUGCAGAGCUGGCUUUUUCCUCCGACUCCCUUGGCUCUUUUGUGAGGCCCAUUGACGAAAGGGAGAUCCACUCAAGGUGGGAAGAAAGAAACACCUCAUCCUUGACUAUUUGAUUAACAGCUGUCUUCUGUGCCAGAAAAUCCAACCCCCACAUUUUUCCUCCCAACCCUGAACCCCUAGUUGUCUCCUGAAAGAGCAGGUCUGUAUCACACACUUCUAGAGUUACUCUGCAGAUCAAACUGGAGAGGAGAGCAGAAAGGCAAGAAAUCCUCUGAGACAUCAGAAGGAAGAGGGAAGGACAAGCAGUGGGAAGACUGGGGAACAAACAGUGAGAGGAGGACGAGAGAGAGAAG